AUAAUAUCAAAGCCAUCCACAACUCAGCCGGUCAAUAACGUUUUCCUUUUUCUUUCUCUAUUGUGAAGGUGUGGCGGGGCACCCUGGCCCGCAUGCGGUACAAAAGAACCAAGGCAGCUCUGACCAUAAUCAGGUACUACCGGCGCUACAAAGUGAAGUCGUACAUCCACGAGGUGGCCAGACGCUUCCAUGGCGUCAAGACCAUGCGAGACUACGGGAAGCACGUGAAGUGGCCAAGCCCUCCUAAAGUUCUUCGCCGUUUUGAGGAGGCCCUGCAGACGAUUUUCAAUAGAUGGAGAGCAUCCCAGCUCAUCAAGAGCAUUCCGGCCUCAGACCUGCCCCAGGUCAGGGCAAAGGUUGCAGCCAUGGAAAUGUUGAAGGGUCAAAGGGCUGACCUCGGGCUCCAGAGGGCCUGGGAGGGCAACUAUCUUGCUUCAAAGCCAGAUACACCUCAGACCUCAGGCACUUUUGUCCCUGUUGCUAAUGAAUUGAAACGGAAGGACAAAUACAUGAAUGUCCUCUUUUCCUGUCACGUCCGUAAGGUAAAUCGAUUUAGUAAGGUGGAAGACAGAGCAAUUUUUGUCACUGACCGUCACCUGUAUAAAAUGGAUCCCACUAAACAGUACAAGGUGAUGAAGACUAUCCCUCUAUACAAUUUGACUGGUCUGAGUGUCUCCAAUGGAAAGGACCAACUUGUAGUGUUCCAUACGAAAGACAACAAAGACCUCAUUGUCUGCCUCUUCAGCAAACAGCCAACCCAUGAGAGUCGAAUUGGAGAACUUGUUGGAGUGCUGGUGAAUCAUUUCAAGAGUGAGAAGCGCCACCUUCAAGUGAACGUCACCAACCCAGUACAGUGCAGCCUGCACGGGAAGAAGUGCACCGUCUCCGUGGAGACGCGGCUCAACCAGCCCCAGCCCGACUUCACCAAGAAUCGCUCGGGCUUCAUCCUCAGCGUGCCCGGGAACUGACGCCCCGCGGAGGCCUGGCCCGGAGCCCGGCCACACUCCG
rnacentral:sRNA from 1 species